rnacentral:rRNA from 1 species
CGAAAACGAAUUCUCUCUUGAGUGGAUCCUGAGUACGACGGAGCACGUGAAAUUCCGUCGGAAUCUGGGAGGACCAUCUCCUAAGGCUAAAUACUCUCUAGUGACCGAUAGUGAACCAGUACCGUGAGGGAAAGGUGAAAAGUACCCCGGAAGGGGAGUGAAAGAGAACUUGAAACCGUGUGCUUACAAGUAGUCAGAGCCCGUUAAUGGGUGAUGGCGUGCCUUUUGUAGAAUGAACCGGCGAGUUACGAUCUGAUGCAAGGUUAAGCAGAAAAUGUGGAGCCGUAGCGAAAGCGAGUCUGAAUAGGGCGAAUGAGUAUUUGGUCGUAGACCCGAAACCAGGUGAUCUACCCUUGGUCAGGUUGAAGUUCAGGUAACACUGAAUGGAGGACCGAACCGACUUACGUUGAAAAGUGAGCGGAUGAACUGAGGGUAGCGGAGAAAUUCCAAUCGAACUUGGAGAUAGCUGGUUCUCUCCGAAAUAGCUUUAGGGCUAGCCUCAAGUGAUGAUUAUUGGAGGUAGAGCACUGUUUGGACGAGGGGCCCCUCUCGGGUUACCGAAUUCAGACAAACUCCGAAUGCCAAAUAAUUUAACUUGGGAGUCAGAAUGUGGGUGAUAAGGUCCAUAUUCGAAAGGGAAACAGCCCAGACCACCAGCUAAGGUCCCAAAAUAUAUGUUAAGUGGAAAAGGAUGUGGCGUUGCCCAGACAACUAGGAUGUUGGCUUAGAAGCAGCCAUCAUUUAAAGAGUGCGUAAUAGCUCACUAGUCGAGUGACACUGCGCCGAAAAUGUACCGGGGCUAAACAUAUUACCGAAGCUGUGGAUUGUCCUUUGGACAAU